rnacentral:lncRNA from 10 species
GGGCAUUCAACACCCUGUUUGAUGUCUCAAAGGGAGGGCUGGCUGGCUGCUGAAAUUCUAAAUUUCUGCCUUUGUGAAAACAACUCUCUUUAGAUCUAGAUGCAAAAAUAAAAAUGUGAUCAGGUCCCAUUAAUGUAUACAGUAGUAUUGCCAUAUAAGCCUCUCUCCCACAAGUGAUAUCACUAAAUUCUCACUGAAUACUUUUCUAGGUCAAUGUCUUCCCUUCCCUCUUCAAGAAUAAAGUAGAUUGAAUGUUGAAACUUUCAUGUUGAAAAAUCCUAUUUUCUAUUUUCAUGAAGAAACUGUCACUAAUCUCAUAAGGAACUGUAUUGAAUGAAAUUCUAGUCUCUUUAUCCUCAUCAUUGAAUUUGAAAAUUUUUCCUCCUUUUCUUAGCCUUUCCAGCUUUCUUUUUAUUUUUUCUCUUGUCUCUUCUUCUCACUCUUCAUCUUCUCUUUCUCUCUCAAGGUCCAAGGCUCUCUCAGUCUUCUAUGUUGGCCACUGGAGGAUUACUUUUCUGUCCUCUUGAAGUUACAACUGGAUGCAGAACUUGAUCUGGACACCAAAAUGUCAGUAGAAGUGAUAUGAGAUACUUCUGACCAGAAGUUUUGUGAAAAAGUUCAUUGUUGCCAACCUCUUCUCCCCCUGCAAGAACCCAAGUAGAGGCUAUCCUCAAUCUGUGAAAGCUGGCUUCUAGAGACUGCAAUUCCCAGGCACCCAUGACAACUGGCUUCAGACUAGGACUUGUCAGCAGGAAGCACCAGCAGAAUAUUUGAGAGUGAACAAAGGAAAAAGCCAGGACACUUCUUUCCCUCCUAUUUGUCCUGUGCAGCAUUUUCCCAUAUAUCUCUGUGAAUCCUGCUUCUACUCAUGAGGCCCAUGGGAUUCCAGAUUCUAUCAGGUGACUCUGGCUCUGGGAUUCAAAUAACAUCAUCCUCUCUCUUUGAAUUUCCAUCCCAGGGGUGUUAAUGAUUUCCUUUUGUUGCUAAUUCUAGGUGGCCUCAGUCUUCUAUUACCCAUGUAAACAGUCCCCGGCAUUAAGAUACCCUCCAUUGUAAUUAAUGUGGAUUAUGUUUUCCUGUUUGGACUCUGUAAAAAUGACUGCAAAAUGACUACAAAAGUAUAUUUACCAAUUGUUUAGUUUAAAAUAUGAUUUGCUACCAUAGUGAAGGAAAAGUGAGAUUUGAUUUAUGGUAGUUUUUUGUUUUAAUUUCAAAGACUUUGCAAUAAAAAUCAAUUUUAAGGGAAA